AGAACGAACGCUGGCGGCAGGCUUAACACAUGCAAGUCGAACGCGUGUAGCAAUACACGAGUGGCGCACGGGUGAGUAACGCGUGGAUAUCUGCCUUUUGGUUCGGAAUAACCCCGGGAAACUGGGGCUAAUACCGGAUGGUUCCUACGGGAUAAAGAUUUAUCGCCAAAAGAUGAGUCCGCGUCCGAUUAGCUAGUUGGUGGGGUAAUGGCCUACCAAGGCGACGAUCGGUAGCUGGUCUGAGAGGACGAUCAGCCACACUGGGACUGAGACACGGCCCAGACUCCUACGGGAGGCAGCAGUGGGGAAUAUUGGACAAUGGGGGCAACCCUGAUCCAGCCAUGCCGCGUGAGUGAUGAAGGCCUUCGGGUUGUAAAGCUCUUUUGGCGGGGACGAUGAUGACGGUACCGCAGAUAAGCCCCGGCUAACUUCGUGCCAGCAGCCGC
rnacentral:rRNA from 1 species